UACGUAGGGUGCAAGCGUUGUUCGGAAUUACUGGGCGUAAAGGGCGCGUAGGCGGGCCCGUAUGUCGAUUGUGAAAGCCCUGGGCUCAACCCGGGAAUGGCAGUCGAAACUGCGGGUCUUGAGUGCCUGAGAGGAUGGCGGAAUUCCCGGUGUAGAAGUGAAAUUCGUAGAUAUCGGGAAGAACACCUGAGGCGAAGGCGGCUGUCUGGCGGUGCACUGACGCUGAGGCGCGAAAGCGUGGGGAGCAAACAGG
rnacentral:rRNA from 1 species